rnacentral:rRNA from 1 species
CCUACGGGUGGCAGCAGUGGGGAAUAUUGCACAAUGGGGGGAACCCUGAUGCAGCAACGCCGCGUGAAGGAAGACGGUUUUCGGAUUGUAAACUUCUAUCAAUAGGGAAGAAAGAAAUAACGGUACCUCACUAAGAAGCCCCGGCUAACUACGUGCCAGCAGCCGCGGUAAUACGUAGGGGGCAAGCGUUAUCCGGAUUUAUUGGGUGUAAAGGGCGUGUAGGCGGGAGCGCAAGUCAGAUGUGAAAACUCAGGGCUCAACCCUGAGCCUGCAUUUGAAACUGUGUUUCUUGAGUGCUGGAGAGGCAAGCGGAAUGCCGGGUGUAGCGGUGAAAUGCGUAGAUAUACGGAGGAACACCAGUGGCGAAGGCGGAUUGCUGGACAGUAACUGACGCUGAGGCGCGAAAGCGUGGGGAGCAAACAGGAUUAGAUACCCUUGUAGUC